rnacentral:lncRNA from 1 species
GCAUGCUCGAUUCUGGAUUGUCACUGACUCUCUGUGUACACAUCUAUGGCUAAGCUGAAGAAGAAACUGGAUUUGGCAAAUGCAGUGGUUGAAGUAGCUCCGGGUGAGUGAUGGGCUGGACAUCUUCGUUUCGGUCAGAAUGGAGAGCCCAGUGCCAGCAUUUAGGAUCGGUCAUUGUGGUAUUUGGUCUUCAUUUUCCUUUGGGGAUCAUUUACUGAUACUUCAUGACAGCAUUUUAAUUCCUGAUUUCUUUUCCCAGAAUCUAAGCUGGUCUUGACUCAUGCCUGAUGUGCCCCGGUUUCCAGAUGAAUCCCACACCAUAGGUUUGUCCUUCUGCCAUGCUGAAGAGCAUCCUGACUGUGGUGUCCCACAUCAUGACCAUCUAGCUCUUCCUCCCAACACAUGACUCACUGCUUCCUGAUUUUCUGCCCUGUUUAUUUUCCCUGUGAUAUACCACAGAGAGAACAUUGGUCCUUCUUUAUUACGAAGUUUUUAUCCUUACCCACUGGAUCUAGGCAUGGCCUAAAAUCUACUUCUUCUAGGAACACUUCUCUGACAAAUUCAGAGAAGUUGAAUCAGUUCUCAAUUUGUAUUGUCCUUAAAUUUGUACAUUUAGUUUAGAAAUUUUAUUAUACAUUUUUUUGAGACAAGGUAUUGCUAUAAAGGACAGGCUGGCCUUGAACUCGUGAUUUUCUUGCUCCAUCUUCCCAUGUGUUGGGAUCACAGGCAUAAGCUGUGAUGCUCCGAUUGAUUUUUGUUUUUGUUAUACUAUUUAUUUGUUUAUUAGACAGAGUAGCUCUGUAUAGCUCUGGCUUGCCUUGAAAUCAUAGAGGUUGGCCUGCCCCUGAGACCUUCCAAGUGCUUAGAUUAAAGAUAUUCACUGCCAUGACCAUC